UGAACGCUAGCGACAGGCUUAACACAUGCAAGUCGAGGGGCAGCGCGAUGGUAGCAAUACUAGUUGGCGGCGACCGGCGCACUGGUGAGUAACACGUAUGCGACCUGCCCCGGACAGGGGGAUAAACCCGGGAAACUGGGCCUAAUACCCCAUAUGCCGCGGAGAUGCAUGUUUCCGCGGUGAAAGAUCCGUCGGUCCGGGAUGGGCAUGCGGCGCAUUAGCUUGUUGGCGGGGUAACGGCCCACCAAGGCGACGAUGCGUAGGGGUUCUGAGAGGAAGGUCCCCCCACACUGGUACUGAGACACGGACCAGACUCCUACGGGAGGCAGCAGUGAGGAAUAUUGGUCAAUGGACGCGAGUCUGAACCAGCCAAGUCGCGUGCGGGAUGAAGGCCCUCCGGGUCGUAAACCGCUUUAGCCGGGGAGUAACGUGUGGGACGCGUCCCGCAGUGAGAGUACCCGGAGAAUAAGCAUCGGCUAACUCCGUGCCAGCCGCCGC
rnacentral:rRNA from 1 species